rnacentral:rRNA from 1 species
CGGCAAACGGGUGUGGAACACGUACAGAACCUUCCUUUAAGCGGGAGAUAGCCCGGAGAAAUCCGGAUUAAUACCCCAUAGUAUUACUGAUCGGCAUCAAUUGGUAAUUAAAGAUUUAUCACUUAAAGAUGGCUGUGCGGCUGAUUAGGUAGUUGGUGUAGGUAAAGGCUCACCAAGCCAGCGAUCAGUAACUGGUGUGAGAGCACGACCAGUCACACGGGCACUGAGACACGGGCCCGACUCCUACGGGAGGCAGCAGUAAGGAAUAUUGGUCAAUGGAGGCAACUCUGAACCAGCCAUGCCGCGUGAAGGAUGAAGGUCCUCUGGAUUGUAAACUUCUUUUAUGUGGGAAGAAAUGCAUUCUUUAUAGAGUGUUUGACGGUACCAUAGGAAUAAGCACCGGCUAACUCCGUGCCAGCAGCCGCGGUAAUACGGAGGGUGCAAGCGUUAUCCGGAUUCACUGGGUUUAAAGGGUGCGUAGGUGGGAAUGUAAGUCAGUGGUGAAAUCUCUGAGCUUAACUCAGAAACUGCCAUUGAUACUAUGUUUCUUGAAUUUUCUGGAGGUCAGCGGAAUAUGUCAUGUAGCGGUGAAAUGCUUAGAUAUGACAUAGAACACCAAUUGCGAAGGCAGCUGACUACAGGGAUAUUGACACUGAGGCACGAAAGCGUGGGGAUCAAACAGGAUUAGAUACCCUGGUAGUCCACGCCCUAAACGAUGGAUACUCGACAUUUGUGAUAGACAAUAAGUGUC